UAGUCUCGCACAGAUGCAUAUCAAUAAGCGGAGGAAAAGAAACUAACAAGGAUUCCCUAGUAACGGCGAGUGAAGCGGGAAGAGCUCAAAUUUGAAAUCUUAAAGGUUUUACCUUGACGAAUUGUAGUUUAAAGAAGUGUUUUCUGUUGAAGUUUUGGUAAAAGUUCUUUGGAAUAGGACAUCAUAGAGGGUGAGAAUCCCGUAUUUGACCAUUUACUUUCAGCUGUGUGAUACACUUUCAAAGAGUCGGAUUGUUUGGGAAUGCAGUCCAAAAUGGGUGGUAAAUUUCAUCUAAAGCUAAAUAUUGGCGAGAGACCGAUAGCGAACAAGUACCGUGAGGGAAAGAUGAAAAGAACUUUGAAAAGAGAGUUAAACAGUACGUGAAAUUGUCAAAAGGGAAGCGUUUGACACCAGUGUUGUUUUCUCGAAAAUCAAUUAAAAAGAGUUUGAUUUUGUUGUGUAUUGACCUUAACAGCUUGCAUUUCAAUUUUCUUGCUUUUUUUAAUGCACUUUUCGUUUAACAAGUCAACAUCAGUUUCUUUUGUUGUAAAAAGGUCAUUGGAAGGUGGCUUUCUUUUCGGAGAAAGUGUUUAUAGCCUUUGACUCCUGCAAUCGGAGAGACUGAGGUCUGCAGCGUAGAUCCUUCGGGGUUAGAUACAUUUGUGCUAAGUUAUAGCUUUUUAUAGACAACUUGUUGACCAUGAUUAGUCUUGUAGCUUACUCGCUUAUGCUAUUUUACCUACGCUUAGGAUGUUGAGCGCAUGUCUCUCUCU
rnacentral:rRNA from 1 species